rnacentral:lncRNA from 1 species
GGGCAUUUAUUGCAAGAGGUUGGGAUCCUGAAAGUUGGAAUGGAGACAUGUGGGAAGACCCUGAUGAAGCCCUGGUUCUGAGCACCUAUGUUCUGAUGUCUUCUUUGCUGUGGAACGGAUGCACUCUAACAUCCAAUGGGACUAACUCUUCACUGCCUGAGGAAUUGAUAAAGGCCUCCCCCAGACAGUUGCUAUGCAAGACAGUGUUGAUUCUUCUCAGGACCCCACCCUACUCUUUGCUUCAAGAUCUUUAAACCCAGGAGGGUUUAUUUCAGGAAGUUCCUAAAGGUGGGGUACAAAGUAUGACCCAUGAGAAAAUAUGCUACAAUACAAAAUAACUACUUGAGUUUUCUAAUUCAUACAGAUGGAAAUCUGGGAAGUCCAUAUGGGGAGGAUGUUAAGAGUGUGGGAUAAUGGUAAAGAGACAUAAAGUUGGAUCAGGCCAAAUUAUUUGACAUAAGCUUACCGAACAGAGAUCUGCAUUUAAUGUUGUAGCUUGGGAAGUUCUGAAGGCUUUAAAAAUUUGAUUGGUUUGUUGGCUGAAACAGAACCAAGGAUGGCCUAUAGUGGGCAAGCUGCAAAUGCUAGGCCAAGUAGAUAUUUCUUACUAUGUCAGAAUAAUAAGGUAAGCAUCAAUGCUAUUUCAGCAAGGCUAAGAAACAGAAGCUGCCAGCAUCUUGGAAGUGUCUUAGGUGCCUCUUCUGGAAGUACCCUUAAGUGCCAUUGCCUUGACUUUUGUGAUAAUCAUUUCCUUGCUUUCCUUUAUGGUUUUACCACCUACAUAUUUAUGCUUGAGCAAUGUUACCUGGCUUUGAUCUUGUGUAAAUAAAAUCAUGCUGCUCGCUU